CCUUGCCAUACGUCCGGGUUUUGCCGAUUCCGCAAAAAACACCCCAUUUCCCUGCCCGUUUUGCGGAUGUGACAGGAAAACCCGGACGAAUGGCAGCCGUAGUUUGGGGUGCCUUGGCGGGAGUUUUCUGGGAGAGAGAGAUGAAUUAUUAUGAUUAUGCGGCUUAUUGAAUUUAUACAGCACCACCCUUCACCCAAACUUGGCAGGGGGCGGUUUGCAGCACAAGAAAUUAGGAAAAGCACAGAAUACAGAGCGGAGAAAUGCAUUUGUAAAGCCAGCUCUGGAUCUUUUCUAAAUAAAUAGAAUAAAACUGCUUAACCCACUGAAAGAUAUAUUUGAAAAAUGCCCGUUAAAGGGGAAUAAUGCCAAUUGUUAAGUAUGAUAGCUACAGUAACAGGGUCAUGUCCUCCAUUGUGACAUGUCUACCUGCUGAGUGACUUGGCUGAUAAUUUAGGAAGAGCAACUAUUUGAGGAUAGUUCAAAGAAAAGAGGUUGUUUACAUGAAUUGUGUCUUCUGAAAAAUGAAAAUUUCAUCUCACCUGUAAGUAGGAUCUCUUAUUCUUUCCGCAUUCUGCUUCUUUGGCUAUCCCUUAAGAUUUAGAAACAUAGGGAAUCAGGUCGUGGUUAGAUUUAUUUUUGAAGGUGGUCCUCAGGGCCACCUUAGAUGCUUUGAGGGAAAUGGCUUGCCUUCCCCCUUGUGGGCGUCGUCGCAAGAAGGACAUCUCCCAGUUUUGAAGGGUCCUUUGACAAGAUCCUCUCCUCCGUGGGUUCAACUGCUUGCUGUACUCUCCAACAGAGGUUUCUGAAAGUUUCAAAGGCUACAUGGGCUGCUGGUCUCCUGCUGUCGCAUGCCAAAGAUCAAUCCCCUGGUCUGUAAGGAGGAGGAGGAGGAGGUAGAAAUAUUGCCACAUCAAUGGGAUGAUGAAGUAAAUGUAAUUAAAAAAUGAGAAGGAGGAGUUAAUGCAGAUAAGAACCAUAUAUGUAAGACUGUGUAACCAGGGAAUGGACGCCACCGAUGCCAACGUGGAUGGUUUCAAAGGCUACAUGGGCUGCUGGUCUCCUGCUGUCGCAUGCCAAAGAUCAAUCCCCUGGUCUGUGAGGAGGAGGAGGAGGAGGUAGCAAUGUUGCCACAUCAAUGGGAUGAUGAAGUAAAUGUAAUUAAAAAUGAGAAGGAGGAGUUAAUGCAGAUAAGAACCAUAUAGGUAAGACUGUACGACCAGGUAAUGGAUGCCACUGAUGCCAACAUGGAUGGUUUCAAAGGCUACAUGGGCUGCUGGUCUCCUGCUGUCGCAUGCCAAAGAUCAAUCCCCUGGUCUGUGAGGAGGAGGAGGAGUAGCAAUAUUGCCACAUCAAUGGGAUGAUGAAGUAAAUGUAAUUAAAAAUGAGAAGGAGAACUUAAUGCAGAUAAGAACCAUAUAUGUAAGACUGUACGACCAGGGAAUGGAUGCCACUGAGGCCAACAUGGAUGGUUUCAAAGGCUACAUGGGCUGUUGGUCUCCUGCUGUCGCAUGCCAAAGAUCAAUCCCCUGGUCUGUGAGGAGAAGGAGGUAGAAAUAUCUCCACA